CAUGAAUAAUUAUGUUUUGUGAUUGGGCAUAAUGAAGUUAUGUAACUUUAGCAUGAUGCCCAAUAACCAACGACUUCCCAAAUCCAGUAAUGUUGUCACAACCUAAUUCCUUUGGAUAAGAUGACCAAUGGCUUUUACAACGCCAGAACAGAUGGUGGCAGUAGUGUGCGGAUUGUGUGUGGCAGCCGGAAACAACGAGCUUGCCGAGUUCUUUGACUGAAUACAUAUCCGCGGACACUCUGAAGGCGGGUAAGUCAAAAAAGUAAACCACUGUAGGGCUGUUUGCAUUUAUCAUGACUUUCCUAGAAUCACAUUUAUAUCACCCGUUUCGUUAGUGUACUUAGUUUUGGCAUCAAGGCAUACGUUUUAUGAGCAAGAGAGUAAGCUUAGCUGGCUAAUUCUCACCAAUUCAAACUGGUUAGCGGCUAAUUAUCGAUAUAGUCUCCUUGUUUUAACUAUUGUUGGGAGUUUGGAAGCUGUCACCCAUGUUGUACUGUAUGCAUAUUUGCAUGUGUGACAUUAUUUUCGGUUACUUUGCGAGUUAUAGCGAAAUAAACUACCUGGCAGCCCAUAACGGGCAGCUAGCUAAUUUAUGCUAGGUGACAACAGCUGGUUCAUUAACGUUGUAUUAGUUCUAUGCAUUGACGUUGCGAGACCCGUGUGCGUCUGAUUUCAAAUGUAUCCAGGACAGUCGUAGAUACCAUCAGUAGCUCUACACACAUCAAUGACACAGGGGAAGUAAAGUUACCGCUGAUUUUUGGUAUUGCUCCGUCUGACUGUGUGUGUACGGCCACAGUAAAUGUUGAUUAGCCGGUGGAACUUUUCGGUUUGAAAAAAGACGAGACGUGAGACUGCGUGACAGAAGGGGCUGUGUGUGCUUGUGUAUGGGUGCGCGUUUGAAUGGGUGCGUCGUGUGUAGAACUAGAUGCUGCAGUUUGCAGCUGGUUUGAUUCAUGUCGUGGGUCACUUACCAAUGUAUGUAGGCCUAAUUGGCUAUGACCUUUGAAAUAGUUGAAAGUAAAUCCCAGUAGUAUCUAGUGAAACACACAUGCAAACGCCCUUCUGUCCCUCAUUCCCUCAAACUCGAUCUUCUACAUUUGUUGUGUAAAAAGGACAUAGCAAGUUUUUUGUAUCAAUGAUCACUUUAGGAUAUUCCAGUGCAUUUACAUUCAAUAUAUACUGUACCUUGAGUGAGGUAGAAAUGCAUAUUGUUGCAAAUAUAAAUACUGUUAAUUUGUUAUUUUUUGUAAUUAAUCAUUUACUGAAUUUCUUUGUAGAAUAUGUUACUAUUAUUUGGGUUUUUGUUCUCUGCAUAACUGUCUCUUUCACCUAUAUUAAUUCCUCAGCAUUCAAGAUGUUUGUAGGGUCCUCACCUCAGCUACCUCUCACAAGGUGCCCCUGAAAAAGAAAUUCAAGACGUUUGGGUCCUCAGCUCAACUGACCAAGACCUUUGCUCAUUGAAGGCAUGAAGUAAUUUGUGAUGCCCCCACGAUUGCAGUUUUUAAAUCCAGAUGGCUUGCUCUUUUUAACAUGUGCGAGAGCUGGAUGGUCUUUCAACAACACUGCUCCGGGUCUUCAGCAAGAAAGGUGCUUCUCAUGCAAGGAAGAUACAGAGGAUCCUGGUGCCCAUGACUCAGGUAAAACAUGCACACUGCCAUGCAUCACAGUAAUGCUAAAAUUUCAAGAUCUAAUGUAAUGGGGAGAAGUAGGGUGUCUUGGAUCAUAUUGCAUUUCUCCCACUAAUUUCAAUCCUUCAGCCAGUUUUGAACUCAUUGUCUUCACCUCAGUUCUAACUACAGCUGGCUUUACACACAGCAGUCCUGGGCAAUGAUAUAACAGUCUUUUGCAGACUGACAACAUUGAUGUGAAGAGGGAGUGCAUGCUGAGGAGCUGACGGUCUACCUGAAUGAAGAGCCAGACAAAGUGGAUGUUGAUCUGGACGGUCCAGCUGAAACGUAUUGUCUUCGUGUGCGUGUGAUCGGCAGAGAGUCCUCAACGACAUUG